CUUCGUUCAUCGGUAACUUUACUUGGAGCUAUAUUUUUAUUCACCACAUGAUAUGUGUUUUGCUUGGAGCGUCAUUUUCUUUUAUUUUGUUUUACUUGCUGUUUGAAUAAAAUAUCAAGAUCUGAAAUUGUUAAAUGUUAGAGAGUCUCCACAUAGUUACAUAAUUAUUCAAUUACUCAUUGAUCUUCACUUAUAUCUUUUGGAGUAGUUUGUCGUUUGCUCUAGUGCUUCACUUAUAUCUUUUAGAGCACGACGAUGGUUUUAUUUUGAAGAAAUAGAUGAAAUCUCAUGCUUCGCUUAUAUUAUUUUGAGAGUCCUAAACAGCAUGGUAAUUUGCUUUGGUUAUGAAAUUAGUCGUAAUAUGAUAGGCAUCCAAGAGGGAUAUAAUAAAAAAAUCAUAUAAGUGCAUUGAAUACUAAGAGAAGUUUGAUACUUGAUAGUUGUUUUGGGAUAUAAAGGUUAUAUUAGAGUCAUGCUAGUUGAGUAAUUGUGAAAUUGAGAAAUACUUGUGUUGAGGUUUGCAAGUCCCGUAGCAUGCACGUAUGGUAAACGUUGUGUGACAAAUUUGAUGCAUGAGGUGUUCUUUGAUUGCUUUCCUUAUGAGUGGCGGUCGGGGACGAGCGACAGUCUUUUCCUACCGAUCUAUCCCCCUAGGAGCAUGCGUGUAGUGCUUGGUUUUGAUGACUUGUAGAUUUUGUAAUAAGGAUGUGAGUUCUUUAUGACUAAUGUUGAGUCCAUGGAUUAUACGCACGAGCACCCUUCCAUCAUUGCUAGCCUCUUCGGGUACCGUGCAUUGCCCUUUCUCACCUUGAGAGUUGGUGCAAACUUCGCCGGUGCAUCCAAACCCCGUGAUAUGAUACGCUCUAUCGCACAUAAGCCUCCUUAUAUCUUGCUCAAAACAGCCACCAUACCAACCUACUAUGGCAUUUCCAUAGCCAUUCCGAGAUAUAUUGCCAUGCAACUUUCCACCGUUUCGUUUAUUAUGACACGCUUCAUCAUUGUCAUAUUGCCUUGCAUGAUCAUGUAGUUGACAUCGUAUUUGUGGCAAAGCCACCAUGUGAGGAAAGGAUGAUGGAGACUAUGAUUCCCCCACAAGUCGAGAUGAGACUCCGGACGAAAAAAAAGAGAAAAGAAAAAGAGGCCAAAAGAAAAAAAAGAAGGCCCAGAUAAAAAAGAUGAGAGAAAAGAGAGAAGGGACAAUGUUACUAUCCUUUUUCCACACUUGUGCUUCAAAGUAGCACCAUGAUCUUCAUGAUAGAGAGUAUCUUAUUUUGUCACUUUCACAUAGUAGUGGGAAUUUUUCAUUAUAGAUCUUGUCUUGUAUAUUCCAAUGAUGGGCUUCCUCAAAUGCCCUAGGUCUUCGUGAGCAAGAUAGUUGGAUGCACACCCACUUAGUUUCUUCUGUUGAGCUUUCAUAUAUUUAUAGCUCUAGUGCAUCCGUUGCAUGGCAAUCCCUACUCCUUGCAUUGACAUCAAUUGAUGGGCAUCUCCAUAGCCCGUUGAUUAGCCGCGUCAAUGUGAGACUUUCUCCUUUUUGUCUUCUCACACAACCUCAAUCAUCAUAUUCUAUUCCACCCAUAGUGCUAUGUCCAUGGCUUGCGCUCAUAUAUUGCGUAAAAUUUGAAAGAGUUUGAAAAGGCUAAGUAUGAAACAAUUGCUUGGCUUGUCAUCGGGGUUGUGCAUGAUGAGAGCAUUCUGUGUGACGAAAAUGAAGCAUGGCCAAACUAUAUGAUUUUGUAGGGAUAAGCUUUCUUUGGCUAUGUUAUUUUGAUAAGAUAUAAUUUCUUUGUUGCAUGUUGAGGGAUUGUUAUAUGAUCUAAUUAUGCUAUUAUUGUUGAGAGAACUUGCACUAGUAAAAGUAUGAACCCUAGGCCUUCCUAGCAUUGCAAUACCGUUUACAAUCACUUUUAUCAUUAGUUACCUUGCAGUUUUUAUAUUUUCAGAUUACAAAAACCUAUAUCUACCAUCCAUAUUGCACUUGUAUCACCAUCUCUUCGCCGAAGCGGAUUGAUAAACCUUAGGUCAUCCACUUGAGGGAAAUUUGCUACUGUCCUACAAACCUCUGCACUUGGAGGCCCAACAACGUCUACAAGAAGAAGGUUGCGUAGUAGACAUCAAGCAAUUUCUGGCGCCGUUGCCGGGGAGGUGAGUGCUUGAAGGUAUAUCUUUAGAUCUUGCAAUCGAAUCUUUUUGUUUCUUGUUUUAUCACUAGUUCAGUUUAUAAAAGAAAACUACAAAAACAUGGAAUUGAGGGUGCCUCAUUUGCUUCAUCUUUUUAAUGUCUUCCGUGAAAAUAAGGAUUCCGAUAAUUGUGCUCAAUUGCUAGAGGAAGAAUGCAUUAAAAUGUUUGGCACUAAAUAUUUGAAUGAUGAGCAUGAUUGCAAUGUUGUUAGUAUGAAUUCUUUGAAUAUCCAUAGUACUAAUGAUGAUUGCACUAGUCAUGAUGAAAAUGUCUCUUAUAAGCAUGUCAACUUUUGUGGAAUACAUAGAGCUUGCAAGUACACACCAAAUAGGGAAGAUAGAUUUUUCAAGAGGCAUAAGUAUCUAAAAACUAAAUGGUUGCAAGAAAGGCUAGAUGAUUGUGCUGAAAGAUUCAAUAUUUAUCGCCAUCUUUGUGAACUUUGCAAUGAACAUGGUCAUUUAAAGCUCCAAUGCUAUUUGUCUCAUGAUCAAAUCGUGUCCAAAAAUUGUGAUAACUUGAUUGCCCUUGAGCAUCAUAAAGAGCUUAGUCUUCUUUUGGGGUAUGAAGAAAUGAAACGUAUAACUGAGGGUAUUCCAAAAUUUAAUCUUGAUAGAUUUCUUGAUUUUGAUCUAGAAGAAAUUUUUAUGUAUUGUGAGGUGAAUUGCAUUGAAAAUCCUUAUAUUGCCAAUUACAUAAAGACAAGAAAACAAAUAGAAGAUGAAGAGAAUACUAAUGAAAGGGAAGAGACUUCCCAAUAUCUUCCUAUUAUUUCUUAUGAUGAAUCAGGCAACGAGGAGGAGCCUUCUAUUCAACCAAUCUCAUUAAUAAGGAGCUCCAAAAAGAGGAUUAAACCCACACAUAAUGUGAAGAAGAAAAAGAAAAGACGGAGAAGCAAAGGUAGAAAGUGAUCCCUCCCAAAUGAUGUUGCUCAUAUUACUCAUUGAGAUGAUGAUAAUUGCUAUAGUAUUGGUGCUAUCCAUACUAUUAAUGAUGAGAGUGAUUAUGCUUAUGAUAUGAAAAGGCCCAAGCUUGGGGAUGCUAUGUUUGAUGAGAAUGACAUGUUUGAGAAUAUUUUUGCUGCAAUUAAUGUUUGUCCCAAGCUUGGGGAUGCUAUGUUUAAUGAUGAUGAUAUUUUUAACCUCCCAAGUUUUGAUGAGAAAAUUUAUUAUGAUGACAGCAUGCCUCCUACUUAUGAUGAUUAUUGUGAUGAUACUUAUGCUAUAAAGAGUAGUGAUGAUUAUAUUUAUAAAACUUGUCAUGGUUAUGACUACUCUUUUAACGUGGAAACAAUUUAUAGUAUUCGAGUCUCUUAUGAUACUCCCACUAUUCCGAAAGAGAAGAAUUCUGCUUAUGUGGAGAAUAAUAAAAUUUCUAUGCAAGUAGAUCAUGAAAAUAAUGCUUUAUGUGCUGGUUAUAUUGUUGAAUUCAUUCAUGAUGCUACUGAAAAUUAUUAUGAGGGAGGAACAUAUGCUUGUAGGAAUUGCAAUAAUAUCAAGUUUCCUCUCUAUGUGCUUAAAGUUUUGAAGUUAUGCUUGUUUUGCCUUCCUAUGCUAGUUGAUUAUUGUUCCCAUAAUUUGUUUGCUCACAAAAUCCCUAUGCAUAGGAAGUGGGUUAGACUUAAAUGUGCUAGUCAUAUUCUUCAUGAUGCUCUCUUUAUGUUUCAAUUCUUAUCUUUGAUGUGAGCAUCAUUGAAAUCAUCAUGCCUAGCUAGGGGCGUUAAACGUUAGCGCUUGUUGGGAGGCAACCCAAUUUUAUUUUUGUUCUUUGCUUUUUGCUCCUGUUAGUAAUAAAUAAUUCAUCUAGCCUCUGGUUAGAUGUGGUUUUAUGUGUUAAUUAGUGUUUGUGCCAAAUAAGAUCUAUAGGAUCUUCUUGGAUGAUAAUUAUUUGAUCUUGCUGAAAAAGACAGAAACUUUCUGCUGACGAAAACAAUUGUUAAAAAUCACCAGAAAGUGAUAAAAUACUGAUUCCAAUUGCAGUAGAUCAAUAAUCAAAUUAUCCAGGUCUUCCUAUUUUGUAAGAUUUUUCUGAGUUCCAGAGGUUUGCGUUUGAUACAGAUGACUACAGACUGUUCUGUUUUUUGACAGAUUCUGUUUUCUAUGUGGUGUUUGCUUAUUUUGAUGAAUCUAUGAGUAGUAUCGGAGGGUAUGAACCAUAGAUAAGUUGGAAUACAGUAGAUAUUACACCAAUAUGAAUUUAUAAUGAGUUCACAACAGUGCCUAAGUGGUGAUUUAUUUUCUUAUACUAACGGAGCUUACGAGUUUUCUGUUAAGUUUUGUGUUCUGAAGUUUUCAAGUUUUGGGUAACGAUUCGAUGGACUAUGGAAUAAGGAGUGGCAAGAGCCUAAGCUUGGGGAUGCCCAAGGCAACCCAAGGUAAUAUUAAAGGACAAACAAGAGCCUAAGCUUGGGGAUGCCCCGGAAGGCAUCCCCUCUUUCGUCUUCGUUCAUCGGUAACUUUACUUGGAGCUAUAUUUUUAUUCACCACAUGAUAUGUGUUUUGCUUGGAGCGUCAUUUUCUUUUAUUUUGUUUUACUUGCUGUUUGAAUAAAAUAUCAAGAUCUGAAAUUGUUAAAUGUUAGAGAGUCUCCACAUAGUUACAUAAUUAUUCAAUUACUCAUUGAUCUUCACUUAUAUCUUUUGGAGUAGUUUGUCGUUUGCUCUAGUGCUUCACUUAUAUCUUUUAGAGCACGACGAUGGUUUUAUUUUGAAGAAAUAGAUGAAAUCUCAUGCUUCGCUUAUAUUAUUUUGAGAGUCCUAAACAGCAUGGUAAUUUGCUUUGGUUAUGAAAUUAGUCGUAAUAUGAUAGGCAUCCAAGAGGGAUAUAAUAAAAAAAUCAUAUAAGUGCAUUGAAUACUAAGAGAAGUUUGAUACUUGAUAGUUGUUUGGGAUAUAAAGGUUAUAUUAGAGUCAUGCUAGUUGAGUAAUUGUGAAAUUGAGAAAUACUUGUGUUGAGGUUUGCAAGUCCCGUAGCAUGCACGUAUGGUAAACGUUGUGUGACAAAUUUGAUGCAUGAGGUGUUCU
rnacentral:lncRNA from 1 species